rnacentral:piRNA from 1 species
UCCAAUGUUGCCUGACCUCCAAUGUAAA